rnacentral:rRNA from 1 species
GGCAGACGGGUGAGUAACGCGUGGGAACGUGCCCUUCAGUUCGGGAUAACCCAGGGAAACUUGGGCUAAUACCGGAUACGUGCGAGAGCAGAAAGAUUUAUCGCUGAAGGAUCGGCCCGCGUCUGAUUAGCUAGUUGGUGAGGUAAUGGCUCACCAAGGCGACGAUCAGUAGCUGGUCUGAGAGGAUGAUCAGCCACAUUGGGACUGAGACACGGCCCAAACUCCUACGGGAGGCAGCAGUGGGGAAUAUUGGACAAUGGGCGCAAGCCUGAUCCAGCCAUGCCGCGUGAGUGAUGAAGGCCUUAGGGUUGUAAAGCUCUUUCGGCGGGGACGAUAAUGACGGUACCCGCAGAAGAAGCCCCGGCUAACUUCGUGCCAGCAGCCGCGGUAAUACGAAGGGGGCUAGCGUUGUUCGGAAUCACUGGGCGUAAAGGGCGCGUAGGCGGCCGAUUAAGUCGGGGGUGAAAGCCUGUGGCUCAACCACAGAAUUGCCUUCGAUACUGAUUGGCUUGAGACCGGAAGAGGUAAGUGGAACUGCGAGUGUAGAGGUGAAAUUCGUAGAUAUUCGCAAGAACACCAGUGGCGAAGGCGGCUUACUGGUCCGGUUCUGACGCUGAGGCGCGAAAGCGUGGGGAGCAAACAGGAUUAGAUACCCUGGUAGUCC